AAUCCCUGAGGGAAGUGACUUCAUGAAGGCAUCCCAUUUAGGAAUGAGUGUUCCAAAAUCUCCUAAUUUCUACCCAGUUGUCGUGGCGUGGAUCUCUGUAUUUGUUCCUACCUUUUGCAAGAGGAAGCUUCUCUGAUGAUGGCUGAGCAAGGGGCUGAUCAGUACGUAAAUAUAAUGUUGUUAGGACUCAUUUUAUUGCUGCAAUCCCUUAGCAGAACAGUAUUAUUUGUUUUUAUCUAGUCCCUGGAUUAUUAAGUCUUAGAUUGUCUGGAACUUGAUUGGUAUCAGAAUUGGGUUCCAUCUCAUGCAGUGGGCAUUAAAUUCAAUCAGGUUAUUGGCUGGUUACUCCCAUAAACUUUGUACCACCAUCACUCUAGUUUGUAGGUCACCAUUGUAGAGUAAAGGUUUUGUAGCUGGGCUUGUGUUUAUGUUUCUCCUUUGGAAAUAGAUACAUACAUUUCAUGAACAAUAGUCAGAAGGGAUGAAAGCUCUAGGUAGGCACCAGCUCACGAGUUGUGUAGAUUCUGUCUUCAGUGAUAGAUAGAGGUUUACUAUCAAUUUUUACGGAGAACAGCCUUAGUAAUAUCCUAGGUUGUUUCAUAAUCUCCAUGGGCCAUUUUGGUUAACAACUUUAUUAUUAACAACUUUACUAGAUGCACUGUAAACUUCAUUUAUUGAUAAGAGAUGUUCAGUUAUUUAUCCAGAUGUCUAUUUUACUAUUUGUAUACUUGUAUACAUUUUAGAAAGUGUCUACUAUACUAGGUUUCCUUAUGAUCUCUUCAAAUGGCCCUUAGUUUUCUUUUUUCUUGUUGUAUUCACUCCCUUGAUCCCCACUUCCCACCCUCUACACAGUUGAAACAGUUCUUGAAUGUUCAAGAGUAAAAUUGCCAGCAUAUAAUGAUUGCCUGACAUUUCAAAUUUUAAAGACAUUUUUCUGAGGGACUGAACUUUAUUUAAUAUUUGAAUAAUAACAAUUUCUAUAAAUAAAGGUUUAUUUUACCAUGUAGUGAUGAACUUUAAAAACAAAAACAAAAACAAAAACAAAGACGGAUACAUCAUACAAAGCAGAAAAUUAGCACAAAAAACACUUUUUAGUUUUGACUCCCCUUUGAUGUGAUAAAAUUAAUCUUGAGCUGUUACUCAAUAAUUAAUACAUCAACAAUGUUCUGCUUUUCAGACAUUACAUUAUAAUAUUAGUUUUUUUUUAGAUACCUGAGCUCAAGCAACUCUUGUUAUUAGAAUAAUGUGUUUUAAUAUCAUGUUUUUCUCCUAUUUAUUUUAUUUCUUUUGUGGGGAAAAUACAGAUUUAAUAUUUAGAAAAUAAAAAUUAUACCCCUGGGGGUUUUUCUUUAUAGUUUUAUGAUUGUGGCUUAAUCUUGUAUAUGUGCAUUUACUGAUUAUGUUUUUCUUCUUCAGGCACUAAGGAACUCAGAGCCUUGGGCAAAGAUGGAAAUAUUGAGGCUUCACCUGACUCCUUUCUCUGCUCUUCACUGAAGAUUCUGGAUGAUUUGAUGUUUUUUUUUUUAAUUAUAUUGGCAAAUAAAAACUAAAAAUAACCUAAAAUGGUAUCAAAUUGAGAUUAUCGAGCACCUUCAAUAAAUGUGAAUUGAAUC
ensembl:lincRNA Gm20756 predicted gene, 20756